GAGACUCUGUGCGCGUGCAUAUCAAUAAGCGGAGGAAAAGAAACUAACAAGGAUUCCCUUAGUAACGGCGAGUGAAGCGGGAAGAGCUCAAAUUUGAAAUCUUCAAGGUUCUACCUUGACGAAUUGUAGUUUAUAGAAGUGUUUUCUGUUAGUAGAGUGGCAAAAGUUCUUUGGAAUAGGACAUCAUAGAGGGUGAGAAUCCCGUAUUUGGUCAUUCUUUCUAGCUUUGUGAUACACUUUCAACGAGUCGGAUUGUUUGGGAAUGCAGUCCAAAAUGGGUGGUAAGUUUCAUCUAAAGCUAAAUAUUGGCGAGAGACCGAUAGCGAACAAGUACCGUGAGGGAAAGAUGAAAAGAACUUUGAAAAGAGAGUUAAACAGUACGUGAAAUUGUCAAAAGGGAAGCGUUUGACACCAGUGUUGUUUUUCCGAAAAUCAAUUACGAAUGUUUUGUUUUUAAGAAGUUAUGACUUCAUCGGCUUGCUUCUUUCUUUACGAAACUUUCUUAAUGCACUUUUCGGUUAACAAGUCAACAUCAAUUUCUUUUGUUGUAAAAGGGUAUGAGGAAGGUGGCUUUCUUUUCGGAGAAAGUGUUUAUAGCCUUGUGCCUCUGCAAUCGGAGAGAUUGAGGUCUGCAGCGUAGAUCCUUCGGGGUUAGAUACGUUUGUGCUAAGUUAUAGCUUUUCAUAGACAACUUGUUGACUAUGUUUAGUCUUGUAGCUUACUCGCUGACGCUAUUUUACCUACGCUUAGGAUGUUGACGAUCAGCUGAGCGCG
rnacentral:rRNA from 1 species